rnacentral:rRNA from 1 species
GCAUAUCAAUAAGCGGAGGAAAAGAAACCAACCGGGAUUGCCCUAGUAACGGCGAGUGAAGCGGCAAGAGCUCAAAUUUGAAAGCUGGCUCCUUCGGGGUCCGCAUUGUAAUUUGCAGAGGAUGCUUCGGGAGCGGUCCCCAUCUAAGUGCCCUGGAACGGGCCGUCAUAGAGGGUGAGAAUCCCGUAUGGGAUGGGGUGCCCGCGCCCGUGUGAAGCUCCUUCGACGAGUCGAGUUGUUUGGGAAUGCAGCUCUAAUUGGGUGGUAAAUUUCAUCUAAAGCUAAAUAUUGGCCGGAGACCGAUAGCGCACAAGUAGAGUGAUCGAAAGAUGAAAAGCACUUUGAAAAGAGAGUUAAACAGCACGUGAAAUUGUUGAAAGGGAAGCGCUUGCGAUCAGACUCGCUCGCGGGGUUCAGCCGGCCUUCGGGCCGGUGUACUUCCCCGCGGGCGGGCCAGCGUCGGUUUGGGCGGCCGGUCAAAGGCCCCUGGAAUGUAACGCCUCUCGGGGCGUCUUAUAGCCAGGGGUGCCAUGCGGCCUGCCCGGACCGAGGAACGCGCUUCGGCUCGGACGCUGGCAUAAUGGUCGUAAGCGACCCGUCUUGAAACACGGACCAAGGAGUCUAACAUCUACGCGAGUGUUCGGGUGUCAAACCCGUGCGCGCAGUGAAAGCGAACGGAGGUGGGAACCCCUCGGGGUGCACCAUCGACCGAUCCUGAUGUCUUCGGAUGGAUUUGAGUAAGAGCGUAGCUGUUGGGACCCGAAAGAUGGUGAACUAUGCCUGAAUAGGGCGAAGCCAGAGGAAACUCUGGUGGAGGCUCGCAGCGGUUCUGACGUGCAAAUCGAUCGUCAAAUUUGGGUAUAGGGGCGAAAGACUAAUCGACCAUCUAGUAGCUGGUUCCUGCCGAAGUU